GAGAAACUCUGGGACAAGAGAAUGGGACUUAUAGAAUCAAGAAACUAUCCCUGAGUCACAUCAAGAUGGCACUUGUCUCCAACACUUGUUAUCCUUCCUGAGAUGGUCAUCAUCGUCUUCACAGACCUCCACUUGUCUUGACUUCCCUCACCCCUUGGAGUCUUCUCUCCAGAACAGUAACCAUACCAUCUGACUGCACAGGAAAGGAGGAGUGAGAACUCAAUAAGCUGCCACUCACUGUAUAUCACAUUAUAAACACUUCACAAAGCCUCUUCACAAAUGCACCUCAUUUGAUCCUAAAAACAACCAUAUAUGAGGUAAGCAAAGCAAGUAUCACCAUUUCCAUUUUAA
rnacentral:lncRNA from 1 species